UGAAUUUGUACAGGUAGUCGAUUGGAUAAGGCCUCGAUACCCAAUCAAAACUAUCGGACCAACUAUUCCAUCGAUGUAUCUUGAUAAGAGACUAAAGGAUGACAAAGAAUAUGGUUUGAGUCUCUUCAAGCCUAAUAGUGAAACUUGUAUGAAGUGGCUAGAUUCAAAGGAAAUUGGCUCUGUUGUGUAUGUAUCAUUUGGAAGUUUAGCCAGCCUUGACGAACAACAAAUGGAGGAGCUAGCUUUGGGAUUGAUAAUGAGCAAAUGUUACUUCUUGUGGGUUGUUAGAGCUACAGAAGAGAAUAAACUCCCUGAGGAAUUCAUGUCCAAGUUAUCGGAGAAAGGACUAAUGGUGAAUUGGUGCCCUCAGCUUGAUGUAUUGGCUCAUCGAGCAAUUGGAUGUUUCUUUACUCAUUCUGGAUGGAAUUCGACUCUGGAAGCAUUGAGUUUGGGAGUGCCAAUGGUGACUAUGCCUCAAUGGUCGGAUCAACCAACUAAAUAGUCCAAAGUAGAGGAGCAGAUCUAGAUCUAUUUUCUUUUUUACCAUGUGACUAUACCUAAUUUGUAGAUCGAACUCCUCUCUAUUUCUCUUCCCUUCAUUUUCCCAAAGCUCUUGCUUGAAUGUGAGACACAUGACAUAGGUAAAAAUUAACGAUUAAGAUUUAAUUGAAUUAAAAUAAAAUUCUAAUUAUAAUUUAGAUAAUUCAUAUUUCAUAAGAAAAAUGACAAUACCACAAUCAUAACAAUAUAUUAUCUUGUCCAUAAAUAUAUUAUUAAAAAAAUUCCCUUUUUCUAAUCUUUUUCUUUCUAGUAUUAUCUUCUCUUUUUGUCCAUAAAUAUAUUACUUAUAAAACAAUUUCUCUUUUUCUAAUUUUUUUCCAUGCAAUUAUUUUUGCUAUUAAUUAUAUGUUAACUAGUUUUAAAGAGAAAAUUCAAAGUUGCUAUCUAACACUUACUCAAUUUUUUUUUUUAAAAAAACGGAAGAUAAAUACUUGUAGGAAAAAAAAAUAGAAAAGAGAAAAGUUUUUAUAAUAUAUUUAUGGACAGGAUAUUAUAUUGUUAUGACUUAUGAUUAUGUUAUUAUUAUUUUUCUUAUGAAAUAUUAAUUAUCUAAAACAUAAUUAGAAUCUUAUUUUAAUCAAUUAAAUCUUAGUCAUUAAUUUUUAGCUAUGCCAUGUGUCUCAUAUCUAAACAAGAACUUGGGAAAAAUGGAGAGAAGGAAAUGAAGAGGUGUCGGAUCCCUAAUUUGUUUGGUUCUAAUAUUUAAAAAAUAGACUUAAGUGAUUUCAUUUCUUUCUAGAGGAAAAUCGAUCUAAAUCAAACCAUGAAUUUGUACAGGUAGUCGAUUGGAUAAGGCCUCGAUACCCAAUCAAAACUAUCGGACCAACUAUUCCAUCGAUGUAUCUUGAUAAGAGACUAAAGGAUGACAAAGAAUAUGGUUUGAGUCUCUUCAAGCCUAAUAGUGAAACUUGUAUGAAGUGGCUAGAUUCAAAGGAAAUUGGCUCUGUUGUGUAUGUAUCAUUUGGAAGUUUAGCCAGCCUUGACGAACAACAAAUGGAGGAGCUAGCUUUGGGAUUGAUAAUGAGCAAAUGUUACUUCUUGUGGGUUGUUAGAGCUACAGAAGAGAAUAAACUCCCUGAGGAAUUCAUGUCCAAGUUAUCGGAGAAAGGACUAAUGGUGAAUUGGUGCCCUCAGCUUGAUGUAUUGGCUCAUCGAGCAAUUGGAUGUUUCUUUACUCAUUCUGGAUGGAAUUCGACUCUGGAAGCAUUGAGUUUGGGAGUGCCAAUGGUGACUAUGCCUCAAUGGUCGGAUCAACCAACUAACGCGAAAUUUAUUAGUGAUGUAUGGCAAACAGGAGUUCGCGUUAAGGUUGGAGAAAAUGGUGUAGUUAAUAGAGACGAAAUCGCGAGUUCCAUAAGGGAAGUCAUGGAG
rnacentral:lncRNA from 1 species